GAGCGGCCGUCUUGAUGUGCUAGGCUAAUAGCUAAUGCAACGAGUUAAACCGUUAGCAUAGGAGCUAACAUCAGAGCACUAGCUCCGGUGCUGAUUGGCGCGAGAGAGACACACUACGACACACCACACAUUAAUGCUGAAGCCCUGAUCCGACAUUUUAAAGGUGCAUUGUGAGACAUUUGUUUGCUCCUUUGUUGCACAUAGAGCUGUAUUAUGUGUGUGUUUAGCACCUUAUUUGUGCAUUCUAAGCUCAUCCAGCCAUAUUUUAUUAGCUGUGCACAUUACAUGUUUUUCUUUCUAGAUGAUUGAUAUUGUUUUAUGUGCUAAUUACGAUGUAAAGAGCACAGGAUAUUUUGAUACUGUUGAUUUGGAGUGAGGAAGAUUAUUUCAAUAACAUAAUCUGAUAUUUUGAGUGUUGCUUAUUUUAUUACUGAACAUUGUGAUAGCAUGUUGCAACAGUAAUUGAGUAAAAUUGUUAUUCUCUA
rnacentral:misc_RNA from 1 species